AUGUGGUAUGACAGGAGGGAAUUUAGAUCUCCACUUGACAAGGGUGGAAGAAGCCCUCAGGCCAUACAACGCACAUACGGUUAAGGUGUCACCACCUACUUUGUGGCAUCUAACCAUGGGCUUUC